UACGGAGGGUGCAAGCGUUGUUCGGAAUUACUGGGCGUAAAGCGCGCGUAGGCGGUUUGUUAAGUCAGAUGUGAAAGCCCAUGGCUCAACCAUGGACGUGCAUUUGAAACUGGCAGACUUGAGUAUUGGAGGGGGUGGUGGAAUUCCCGGUGUAGAGGUGAAAUUCGUAGAUAUCGGGAGGAAUACCGGUGGCGAAGGCGGCCAUCUGGACGGUGACUGACGCUGAGACGCGAAAGCAUGGGGAGCAAACAGGAUUAGAUACCCUAGUAGU
rnacentral:rRNA from 1 species